AGCAAUUUAGUUUGAUUACCCGAAACUAGGUGAGCUACUCCAAGACAGCCUACCAAUAGGGCAAACCCGUCUCUGUGGCAAAAGAGUGGGAAGAGCUUUGAGUAGAGGUGACAGACCUACCGAACCUAGUUAUAGCUGGUUGCCCGAGAACUGGACAGAAGUUCAGCCUCCCGGCUUCUUUAUUCCUCUAGAUACAUUGAUUCCACCCGAUUAUUCAAGAAACCGAGAGAGUUAUUCAAAGGAGGUACAGCCCCUUUGAACCAAGACACAACUUUACUAGGAGGGUAAAGAUCAUAAUUAACUUAAGGCACAAUGCCCCCGUAGGCCUAAAAGCAGCCAUCCCUAUAGAAAGCGUUAAAGCUCGAGCAACCCGCCACCCCCUAAUACUGAUUAUUUAAUCUCAACCCCCUUAUAUCUACCGGGCCUCCCAUGCAUAUCCAUGGGGGAGACCAUGCUAAUAUGAGUAACAAGAGAGCCCCGCCUCUCUUCUAAUACACGUGUAAAUCGGACGGACACCCCACCCGAAAACUAACGGGCCCAAACAAAGAGGGAACUGAACAUCAGGACCAAAGACUAGAAAAGCACCAAUAACCCCACCGUUAACCCAACACAGGUGUUUCCCAAGGAAAGCUUAAAGAAAGAGAAGGACUCGGCAAACACCCCCUAAGCCUCGCUGUUACCAAAAACAUUGCCUUUUUGAAAAGCAACAGAAAAGAGGCCCCGCUGCCCCUGGGACUAUUAAGGUUAACGGCCGCGGUAUUUUAACCGUGCGAAGGUAGCGCAAUCACUUGUCUUUUAAAUGAAGACCUGUAUGAAUGGCACAACGAGGGCUUGACUGUCUCCUCUUUCAAGUCAAUGAAAUUGAUCUCCCCGUGCAGAAGCGGGGAUAAAAACAUAAGACGAGAAGACCCUAUGAAGCUUUAGACACAAAGCAGCAUUACGUUAAAUAACCCCCAUUACGGGACCAAACUAAAUAUGGACCUGCUCUAAGUCUUGGGUUGGGGCGACCUUGGGGUAACAAACAACCCCCAUGUGGAACGGGACCACCCUUCCUCACCUACAACUAAGAGUCACAACUCUAAUUAGCAGAACUUCUGACCAUCAAUGAUCCGGCAAAGCCGAUCAACGGACCAAGUUACUCUAGGGAUAACAGCGCAAUCCUCUUUUAGAGCCCUUAUCGACAAGGGGGUUUACGACCUCGAUGUUGGAUCAGGA
rnacentral:rRNA from 1 species